rnacentral:rRNA from 1 species
ACGCGAAGAACCUUACCUGGUCUUGACAUCCACAGAACUUUCCAGAGAUGGAUUGGUGCCUUCGGGAACUGUGAGACAGGUGCUGCAUGGCUGUCGUCAGCUCGUGUUGUGAAAUGUUGGGUUAAGUCCCGCAACGAGCGCAACCCUUAUCCUUUGUUGCCAGCGGUUCGGCCGGGAACUCAAAGGAGACUGCCAGUGAUAAACUGGAGGAAGGUGGGGAUGACGUCAAGUCAUCAUGGCCCUUACGACCAGGGCUACACACGUGCUACAAUGGCGCAUACAAAGAGAAGCGACCUCGCGAGAGCAAGCGGACCUCAUAAAGUGCGUCGUAGUCCGGAUUGGAGUCUGCAACUCGACUCCAUGAAGUCGGAAUCGCUAGUAAU